rnacentral:lncRNA from 1 species
CCGUAAUAAAAAAUACAGCUGACGCUCGAAAAAGCCCAGGUUUGAAUGGUGUGGACCUACUAAGUGUGGACAGAGGUCCCAGUUCAUCAUCAGGGGACACCAAGGCAAGAACUCACGGCAGGAACCUGGAGGCAGAGACUGAAGUAGAAGCCAUGGAGGAACACUGCUUACUGACUUGCUGUCCACGGCUCAUCUAUGUUAUAUAGGCCAGGCUCACCUGCCUGGGAAUGGCACCGCUCAUAGUGGGCUGGACCCUCCUAUGCUAAUUAGCAAUCAAGAAAAUCGCCCCGGAUGUGCUUACAGUCCAUUCUAAGGGAACCAUUUCCUCAAAUGAAGUCCCCUCUUCCCAGGUCUGUCAAACUGAUGGCUGAAGCCAAUGAUAGAAAUGAUUGCUGUAGUUUUUAUUUUACACACCUCAGCUGCAUCUAUUGAUUAACCACAUGAUUUCCCCUGUAUUAUGUUAUUCUGGGGACUGAUCAUUUGUUUAAAAUACCAAUGAAUGGUGGCACAUGCCUUGAAUCUCAAUACUUGAGAAGCCGUAGGCAGGAAGACGGCUGAAAGUUCAAGGCCAGCCUAGGACACAUCAUAUGACCCUGUCUCAAAAUAAAACAAACAAAAAAAGACUAUGAAACCGAGGUAACCCUUUUAGGGGAUAAAGGUCAUUCCGUCUUCCUAUACCAGUCUGGAAGUGUUUCCCCUGUUAGCAGUUCCUGGAAAAACAAAUAUUUACUGUCCUUGACUGUUAAGUGGUAACUAUCACUGGGACUGGGUGUAUCGUUUCUAGGAAGAGAUGCAAUCAUACACUGAAUGUAUUCACUAGAUGUGACAUUAUUCAGGCUUUGCUUGCUUUUAAUAGAUUGUAGGGUUUGUUUUUUUUUGCUUUUUGUUUUUUUUUUUUUACUAGAUUGUAAUCUAAUCCUCCAAUUUAUAAGCAUAAAAAUAUUCAAGACUCCGUGUUUAUGACAUCUCCCUUCUCACGUAUGUCUCUGUGUGUAUGUGUGUGUAUGACUAUGUGUGUGAAUGUGUGCAUGUGAAUGAGCGUACGUGUGAGUGUGUCAGCGUGUGUGUGAGUGUGAGUAUGUGUAAGAGAGAGAGAGAGAGUGUGUGUGAGAAUGUGUGUGUGUAUGUAUGUAGUUUUCUAUUUUUCA